UGCGCAGGCGGUUAGAUAAGUCAGAUGUGAAAUCCCCGCGCUUAACGCGGGCAUUGCAUUUGAAACUAUGUAGCUAGAGUUCUGUAGAGGGGGGUAGAAUUCCAGGUGUAGCGGUGAAAUGCGUAGAGAUCUGGAGGAAUACCGAUUGCGAAGGCAGCCCCCUGGACAGUUACUGACGCUCAUAUGCGAAAGCGUGGGGAUCAAACAGGAUUAGAUACCCUUGUA
rnacentral:rRNA from 1 species